GACGAACGCUGGCGGCGUGCCUAAUACAUGCAAGUCGAACGGAAAGGCCCUGCUUUUGUGGGGUGCUCGAGUGGCGAACGGGUGAGUAACACGUGAGUAACCUGCCCUUGACUUUGGGAUAACUACAGGAAACUAGGGCUAAUACCGGAUAGGAGCUCAUGCUGCAUGGCGGGGGUUGAAAAGUUUCGGCGGUUGGGGAAGGACACGCGGCUUAUCAGUUUGUUGGUGGGGUAGUGGCUUACCAAGGCUUUGACGGGGAGCCGGCCUGAGAGGGAGACCGGCCACAUUGGGACUGAGAAACGAGCCGGACUCCUACGUGGGGCAUCAGUGGGGGAUAUUGCACAAUGGGCGGAAGCCUUGAGCAGCAACGCCGCGUGCGGGAUGACUGCCUUCGGGGUGUAACCCGCUUUCGCGUGUAACGAAGCGUGAGUGACGGUAAUUGGUAAGGAAGCACCGGCUAACUACGUG
rnacentral:rRNA from 1 species